AUUGAACGCUGGCGGCAUGCUUUACACAUGCAAGUCGAACGGUAACAGGCCGCAAGGUGCUGACGAGUGGCGAACGGGUGAGUAAUGCAUCGGAACGUGCCCAGUCGUGGGGGAUAACUACUCGAAAGAGUAGCUAAUACCGCAUACGAUCUAUGGAUGAAAGCGGGGACCGUAAAGCCUCGCCGGAUUUGGGGCGGCGAUGUCAGAUUAGGUAGUUGGUGGGGUAAAGGCUCACCAAGCCAACGAUCUGUAGCUGGUCUGAGAGGGCGACCAGCCACACUGGGACUGAGACACGGCCCAGACUCCUACGGGAGGCAGCAGUGGGGAAUUUUGGACAAUGGGCGCAAGCCUGAUCCAGCAAUGCCGCGUGCAGGAAGAAGGCCUUCGGGUUGUAAACUGCUUUUGUACGGAACGAAACGGCUCUGGUUAAUACCCGGGGCUAAUGACGGUACCGUAAGAAUAAGCACCGGCUAACUACGUG
rnacentral:rRNA from 1 species